UGGCGUUUUGUUGAUUUCAUUUCUCUGUUAUUGUGCCUACUGUAUUUAAACAGAGUUUUUCCCUUCAUGUGUGGAUUUUUGGGAGAGUCCUCUAUUCAAAGUAUUGAAGAAGUUUCUUCAAGGAAAGACAACUUCUGAGGACGCUGAUGAUUUCUUAAGUAUGGUCAUCUCUGUCAGGAAUUUGUUAACGUAUUGAUAAAUAACCAGGGAGACUCCAUAAAGCAGGAAAAGUUCUUACAUGUAGCUGGUUUUAACCCAUCACAGGAAACAAGAAUGGCUAAGGAGGUAAGGAAAG
rnacentral:lncRNA from 1 species